rnacentral:rRNA from 1 species
ACACAUGCAACUCGAACGGCAGCAUGAUCUAGCUUGCUAGAUUGAUGGCGAGUGGCGAACGGGUGAGUAAUACAUCGGAACGUGCCCUGUAGUAGGGGGAUAACUAGUCGAAAGAUUAGCUAAUACCGCAUACGACCUGAGGGUGAAAGUGGGGGACCGCAAGGCCUCAUGCUAUAGGAGCGGCCGAUGUCUGAUUAGCUAGUUGGUGGGGUAAAGGCCCACCAAGGCGACGAUCAGUAGCUGGUCUGAGAGGACGAUCAGCCACACUGGGACUGAGACACGGCCCAGACUCCUACGGGAGGCAGCAGUGGGGAAUUUUGGACAAUGGGCGAAAGCCUGAUCCAGCAAUGCCGCGUGUGUGAAGAAGGCCUUCGGGUUGUAAAGCACUUUUGUCCGGAAAGAAAUGGCUCUGGUUAAUACCUGG